GACGAACGCUGGCGGCGUGCUUAACACAUGCAAGUCGAACGGAAAGGCCCUGCUUUUGUGGGGUGCUCGAGUGGCGAACGGGUGAGUAACACGUGAGUAACCUGCCCUUGACUUUGGGAUAACUUCAGGAAACUGGGGCUAAUACCGGAUAGGAGCUCCUGCUGCAUGGUGGGGGUUGGAAAGUUUCGGCGGUUGGGGAUGGACUCGCGGCUUAUCAGCUUGUUGGUGGGGUAGUGGCUUACCAAGGCUUUGACGGGUAGCCGGCCUGAGAGGGUGACCGGCCACAUUGGGACUGAGAUACGGCCCAGACUCCUACGGGAGGCAGCAGUGGGGAAUAUUGCACAAUGGGCGGAAGCCUGAUGCAGCAACGCCGCGUGCGGGAUGACGGCCUUCGGGUUGUAAACCGCUUUCGCCUGUGACGAAGCGUGAGUGACGGUAAUGGGUAAAGAAGCACCGGCUAACUACGUGCCAGCAGCCGCGGUGAUACGUAGGGUGCGAGCGUUGUCCGGAUUUAUUGGGCGUAAAGGGCUCGUAGGUGGUUGAUCGCGUCGGAAGUGUAAUCUUGGGGCUUAACCCUGAGCGUGCUUUCGAUACGGGUUGACUUGAGGAAGGUAGGGGAGAAUGGAAUUCCUGGUGGAGCGGUGGAAUGCGCAGAUAUCAGGAGGAACACCAGUGGCGAAGGCGGUUCUCUGGGCCUUUCCUGACGCUGAGGAGCGAAAGCGUGGGGAGCGAACAGGCUUAGAUACUCUGGUAGUCCACGCUGUAAACGGUGGGUACUAGGUGUGGGGUCCAUUCCACGGGUUCCGUGCCGUAGCUAACGCUUUAAGUACCCCGCCUGGGGAGUACGGCCGCAAGGCUAAAACUCAAAGGAAUUGACGGGGCCCCGCACAAGCGGCGGAGCAUGCGGAUUAAUUCGAUGCAACGCGUAGAACCUUACCUGGGUUUGACAUGGAUCGGGAGUGCUCAGAGAUGGGUGUGCCUCUUUUGGGGUCGGUUCACAGGUGGUGCAUGGCUGUCGUCAGCUCGUGUCGUGAGAUGUUGGGUUAAGUCCCGCAACGAGCGCAACCCUUGUUCACUGUUGCCAGCACGUUAUGGUGGGGACUCAGUGGAGACCGCCGGGGUCAACUCGGAGGAAGGUGGGGACGACGUCAAGUCAUCAUGCCCCUUAUGUCCAGGGCUUCACGCAUGCUACAAUGGCUGGUACAGAGAGUGGCGAGCCUGUGAGGGUGAGCGAAUCUCGGAAAGCCGGUCUCAGUUCGGAUUGGGGUCUGCAACUCGACCUCAUGAAGUCGGAGUCGCUAGUAAUCGCAGAUCAGCAACGCUGCGGUGAAUACGUUCCCGGG
rnacentral:rRNA from 1 species